AGUGAACGCUGGCGGUAGGCCUAACACAUGCAAGUCGAACGGCAGCACAGUAAGAGCUUGCUCUUACGGGUGGCGAGUGGCGGACGGGUGAGGAAUACAUCUGAAUCUACUUUUUCGUGGGGGAUAACGUAGGGAAACUUACGCUAAUACCGCAUACGACCUACGGGUGAAAGCAGGGGAACUUCGGACCUUGCGCGAUUGAAUGAGCCGAUGUCGGAUUAGCUUGUUGGCGGGGUAAAGGCCCACCAAGGCGACGAUCCGUAGCUGGUCUGAGAGGAUGAUCAGCCACACUGGAACUGAGACACGGUCCAGACUCCUACGGGAGGCAGCAGUGGGGAAUAUUGGACAAUGGGCGCAAGCCUGAUCCAGCCAUACCGCGUGGGUGAAGAAGGCCUUCGGGUUGUAAAGCCCUUUUGUUGGGAAAGAAAAGCAGCAGGUUAAUACCCCGCUGUUCUGACGGUACCCAAAGAAUAAGCACCGGCUAACUUCGUG
rnacentral:rRNA from 1 species